UGCUCACCCCUAGCCCCUCUGCCUCAAAACAUCGGUUCUUCUCUUUUCUAAUCCAUCUCCGUUGCUGCUGCAACCGACUUCCACCGUCGACGUCUGCUGCCCAUUUCCGCAGUUGAAGUCGCCGUCCACCACAGCUUCGCCGGUAAUCUUCGUCGCCAACAAAGCUUCUGUUGGCUCCCUAGCUGCGUCGAAUUUCUCCUUCCCUGCUUGGCUGCCUUGCCCGGGUGUGUUGGUUCUAUUUACAGUGGUGUUUCUCCUCUCCGGCGAAGUUACAUCAGCAUCGUUGGCGACUGAGAGAGGGUUAUGAAUUCCCGAAUUUGGCAUUAGGUCUCCACAGCGAAGUUUAGAUUCCCUUGCCUCUGAAUUUUGGAAUGCACUGUGUUUUGAGUCUCGUCCAGUAAAUGGCUUCGAUUGGAGCAGCUAUUCUGGUCUGUAGCCUCCCUCCUCAGUUAUUCUGCUAUCUCUCAUGGGGGCUUCCAUCUCCAGUUUUUCUUCA